GACGAACGCUGGCGGCGUGCUUAACACAUGCAAGUCGAACGGAAAGGCCCUGCUUUUGUGGGGUGCUCGAGUGGCGAACGGGUGAGUAACACGUGAGUAACCUGCCCUUGACUUUGGGAUAACUUCAGGAAACUGGGGCUAAUACCGGAUAGGAGCUCCUGCUGCAUGGUGGGGGUUGGAAAGUUUCGGCGGUUGGGGAUGGACUCGCGGCUUAUCAGCUUGUUGGUGGGGUAGUGGCUUACCAAGGCUUUGACGGGUAGCCGGCCUGAGAGGGUGACCGGCCACAUUGGGACUGAGAUACGGACCAGACUCCUACGGGAGGCAGCAGUGGGGAAUAUUGCACAAUGGGCGGAAGCCUGAUGCAGCAACGCCGCGUGCGGGAUGACGGCCUUCGGGUUGUAAACCGCUUUCGCCUGUGACGAAGCGUGAGUGACGGUAAUGGGUAAAGAAGCAACGGCUAACUACGUG
rnacentral:rRNA from 1 species